rnacentral:rRNA from 1 species
UACGGGGGGGGCAAGCGUUGUUCGGAAUUACUGGGCGUAAAGGGCUCGUAGGCGGCCAACUAAGUCGAACGUGAAAUCCCCGAGCUCAACUCGGGAACUGCGUCCGAUACUGGUGGGCUUGAAUCCGGGAGAGGGAUGCGGAAUUCCAGGUGUAGCGGUGAAAUGCGUAGAUAUCUGGAGGAACACCGGUGGCGAAGGCGGCAUCCUGGACCGGCAUUGACGCUGAGGCGCGAAAGCUAGGGGAGCAAACGGG